AGGAGCAUUUUCUUUGUCCUGUUGACUGUUUGGACAAAUGUUUACAACCAAGAUGGUUGCUAAAUGUCUGAAUUCUGCUGAGGAGACUUUCUUCAUUUCCACAGAAGGAAGUGGUUUGGAUACAUUUUUCUCCCUCUCUUGAACAUAAGAAAUUUAACCAAUUCACUUUCUUGGAGGUCAAAAGAAGAAGGCUUCAGCUUGGUAUUUUAUCUCUAAUGGAAGCUGCAAAGGAUUUGUGUACACACUGACCUCCAUAAGAGCAAUAUCAUGCCUAGAAAUUAGAGAAUUAAUUACACAUGCAUGGUUAGCAGAGAAGUGAAAAUUGAAGAGUGAACAUACCAGAGUACUGGCAAUAAUAUGAUUUAGGUAUGUAGUAGCUGCACGCCUCCCCCUGAAUUCUUUCCUCUGGGACCUUGGCUGGCAACGC
rnacentral:lncRNA from 1 species